GGAAACAGUAGCGCAAGCGGCUGUGGAGUGUAUAGAAGUGAGAAUGCCGGAAUGAGUAGCGCGAAUGCAGUGAGAAUCUGCAUGGCCGAAAGCCUCAGGUUUCUGGAGGAAGGUUCGUCCGCUCCAGGUUAGUCGGGAGCUAAGGUGAGGCCUAACGGCGUAGCCGAUGCACAGACGGUAGAGAUUCCGUCACCACCAAAAGAGUUAAGCACAGGGACACAUUUGAAGUCUCGGAGCCGGGUGUUGGUUCCGGUAGCGAUCGAGGGAAAUUAGUACCGAAGUCCGGGAUGGAAGAUGGCGAGAAAAGCUGUGUGUAUUUCUGCGGUGCCCGUACCGCAAACCGACACAGGUAGGUAGGAAGAAGAUUCUAAGGCCAACGGGAGAAGGGUUGUUAAGGAACUCGGCAAAUUGACCCCGUAACUUCGGGAGAAGGGGUGCUCCAGAGAUGGAGCCGCAGAGAAUCGGCCCAAGCAACUGUUUACCAAAAACACAGGUUUGUGCUAAAUCGAAAGAUGACGUAUACGAGCUGACGCCUGCCCGGUGCUGGAAGGUUAAGAGGAGAUGUGCAAGCAUUGAAUCGAAGCCCCAGUGAACGGCGGCCGUAACAAUAACGGUCCUAAGGUAGCGAAAUUCCUUGUCAGGUAAGUUCUGACCCGCAUGAAAGGCGUAAUGAUUUGGGCACUGUCUCGACAGCCCGCCCGGCGAAAUUGUAGUACCGGUGAAGAUGCCGGUUACCCGCGACAAGACGGAAAGACCCCAUGGAGCUUUACUGUAGCCUAAUAUUGGGUUUCGAUGUUGCAUGCACAGGAUUGAUGGGACACAGGGAAACAAGAGCUUUGGCAUUUGUGGAGUGGCCGUUGGGAUACCAUCCUUGCGAUAUUGGAAUUCUAACCUGCGCCUUUGAAUCAAGGCGGGGGACAUUGUUAGGUGGGCAGUUUGACUGGGGCGGUCGCCUCCUAAAGAGUAACGGAGGCGUUCAAAGGUUCGCUCAGCUUGAACGGAAAUCAAGCAAAAGAGUGCAAACGCAGAAGCGAGCCUAACUGCGAGACUGACGGGUCGAGCAGUAACGAAAGUUGGAGUUAGUGAUCCGGUGGUAUGUGAGUGGAAAUGCCAUCGCUCAACGGAUAAAAGUUACCCUGGGGAUAACAGGCUGAUCUCCCCCAAGAGUCCACAUCGACGGGGAGGUUUGGCACCUCGAUGUCGGCUCAUCGCAUCCUGGGGCUGUAUUCGGUCCCAAGGGUUUGGCUGUUCGCCAAUUAAAGCGGUACGUGAGCUGGGUUCAGAACGUCGUGAGACAGUUCGGUCCCUAUCUGUCGUGGGCGCAGGAUAUUUGAUGGGAGCUGUUCCUAGUACGAGAGGACCGGAGCGGACGUACCUCUGGCGCACCAGUUGUUCUGCCAAGGGCAUAGCUGGGCAACUAUGUACGGAUCGGAUAAACGCUGAAAGCAUCUAAGCGUGAAGCCGACCCAAAGAUAAGAUAUCCCAUUGUUUCAAACAAGUAAGACCCCUUGAAGACUACAAGGUUGAUAGGCACGAUGUGUAGUGGAGUGAUCCAUUCAGCAAGCGUGUACUAAUAGGUCGAGGGCUUGACCAA
rnacentral:rRNA from 1 species